GAUGGCUGGGGGUCACGCUUGCCUGGGACGGCUCGCCCCUUUCUGGCUCUUUCUGGUGGGGGGCUUGCUCCUUGGCUCCCUUGUGCAGCCCUUCAACUUGCACACUGGUGACCCAACGUUCUUCUCUGGACCCAGCAGAAGCUAUUUUGGAUUUGCUUUGGACUUCUACCAGGACAGCAAAGGCAGAAUGAACGUGCUGGUAGGGGCCCCUCGGGCCAACACGUCGCAGCCUGGAGUGUUGGAGGGGGGCGCAGUCUACCUGUGUCCCUGGAAUCCCAGUGGCAACCCCUGCACCCCCAUUCAGUUUGAUGCUGAAGGUGACCGUACAGGCAAGCGCGGGACCACCACUGUGAGAACCUUCAAGUCCAAGCAGUGGUUUGGAGCAUCUGUAAACUCCUGGAAAGACAACAUCUUGGCCUGCGCCCCUCUGCUGCAUUGGAAUGCUGUCGAUGGCCAGGAGGAAGCCACCCAGACCCCCGUGGGCACCUGUUUUGUGGCCACAAACAGCCUGCAGCACUUUGUGGAAUAUUCUCCGUGCCGGGACAUCAGAGUCCACUCUGUGUACAGAGCCACAGAUUUUGGAAACGACAAGCGCUACUGUGAAGUGGGGUUCAGCUCUGCCGUCUCUGAGACUGGGAGACUGUUGCUUGGAGCACCUGGUGGAUAUUACUUUGGAGGUCUGGUCUACUCGGUCAACCUGUCUGCAGUGGUUGCGAGCUUUCCAAAGUCUCCUCUGUUGUUAUGGACUGUGGGGCAAGAGCAAGUGACGUUGGACUUCAUGGACAGAAGCUAUAAUGAUGCAUACCGGGGGUAUUCAGUGGCUUUUGGGGAGUUCAAUGAAGACGCGCAGUCACCAGAAUAUGUUGUGGGUGUUCCGAACAAAAGUCUAACGAAAGGAGUGGUUGAAAUUUUGUCCUUCAAGAAGGUCAUACAGACCCUCCCUAGUGAACAGAUGGCAUCCUAUUUUGGGCAUACUGUUGCGGUGGCUGAUAUCAACGGAGAUGGGAAAGACGACAUCCUUGUGGGGGCCCCGCUCUUCAUGGAGCGCCACUCCGACAGCAAACUCUACGAGGUGGGGAGAGUCUACUUGUACCUGCAAGGGAAGAGCCCCCCCGCUUUCAGCGUCCCCUGGCAGAAACUGACGGGCACGGAUGUCUACGGGCGCUUUGGGAUGGCGAUCGCAUCCUUGGGCGACAUGGACCAAGAUGGAUACACUGAUAUAGCUGUAGGAGCGCCCUUUGCUGGCCAAGAUGGGGGCGGCCGUGUGUACAUCUACCGCGGGCAGAGCAAUGGCCUGCGUGCGUCUCCUGACCAGGUCCUUGAAAAUCCCUUCGCUGGACCGGCCGGCUUCGGUUUUGCCGUGCGUGGAGCCUCGGACAUAGACGCGAACAGCUACCCGGAUCUGUUGGUUGGGGCAUUUAAAGCCAGCAAGGUGGCUGUGUACAGGGCCCGACCGGUUGUGGCGAUCAAAGGCCAGGUGCUGGUGCCGCAGACGCUGAAUUCGGAGGAGAAAAGCUGCACAGUGGCCAAAAUGAACGUCAGCUGCUUCACCAUCCAGAUGUGUGUUGGAGUGUCGGGGAGAAACAUACCUGCCCAAAUGGGCCUGGAAACAGAGCUACAGCUGGACAGCAUGAAGCAGAAAUUUUGGCGACGCGUUUUCCUGGAGCAAACCGGCCAGUCGAGCCAAGUGUUCCCCCUGGAACUGUCGGGAAAAGUGUCCCAAGCCUGCCGAAACAUCACUGCCUACCUGCGGGACGAGGGAGAUUUCAAGGACAAGUUGAGCCCCAUCGUGGUCACCUUCAGCUUCGGUUUGGGAUCUGCAUCCGGCGCGGGGGAGCUGGAUCCUGUGCUGUCCGGCCAAACAGUGAUCCGGGAGCAGACCCGCAUCGUUUUGGAUUGUGGAGAGGACAGCGUUUGUGUCCCGGAUCUCAAACUGUUUGCUUGCACGGAAGACCACCUCCUUAUCGGGGCAGAGAACGUGGUCCUCAUCCAGGCAACAGCGGUGAAUGCUGGCGAAGGGGCCUACGAGGCUGAACUGGUCGUGGAGCUGCCCAGGGGAGCGUACUUCCAAACGGCUCACAGCAACUCACAGAAGCUGAUUUGCACCUCAGAGAAGAAAAUCGAGAUCUCGCCAUGGCUGCAUGCAACAAGCAAUCCCUAUGAAAUCCAGCUGAGAUCCAGGUGGGACAUGAUGGAAGUCAGAAGUGUCAGCCAACUGGAAGAGGGCCGGGUGACAACGCUGCUUUCAGGAUGCAGCUGAGGAGCAAAAACAGAGACAACCCCAACAGCUUAAUUUUGACGCUGCUGCAGCACGCGGCUGGUCAAGGCCACGUGCAAGGAUGGAGCUCGGGGGAAUUCUGCCCCAGCCAGUAUUCUGCUCCCACUGGUCACCGGGGACCCCAAGAACGAGAGCAAGAGAGCGGAUGACCAUGGGCUCCAAGUGGAGCACAUUUAUCAGUUGCAGAAUGAAGGUCCGAGUUCCGUUUCCGGGGCUGAGCUCCUGGUGAACUUUCCCAGUUGCUUUCAGGGAAGCUUCCGACUCGACAUCACAAACGCGGGGACUCACAGAAGGCUGCGACCAGCUGCUCUCUUUUUCCCCUUAACGAGA